GAUGAACGCUGGCGGCGUACCUAACGCAUGCAAGUCGAACGGGGAAGUCAAUGUAGCAAUACAAAGAUUUUCUAGUGGCAAACGGGUGAGUAACACGUAGGCAUCUACCUCGAAGUGGGGAAUAACGGCUCGAAAGGGUCGCUAAUACCGCAUGGGCUAUUCUGAAAGGGAUAGCAAAGGUUAGUUCGUAAGAACCAAUCGCUUUGAGCGGAGCCUGCGGUCGAUCAGGUCGUUGGAGAGGUAACGGCUCCCCAAGCCUUUGACCGAUAGCUGUUCUGAGAGGAAGACCAGCCACACUGGGACUGUGACACGGCCCAGACUCCUACGGGAGGCAGCAGCGAGGAAUAUUGCACAAUGGAGGAAACUCUGAUGCAGUAACGCCGC
rnacentral:rRNA from 1 species